GGUGAUUCUCAGGUGACACACCCCAGAAUAGGGCUCCCUCCUCUCUGGUUCCGGGUGCAUCACCCGAGAACCGCA
rfam:Myotis davidii contig42867, whole genome shotgun sequence.